rnacentral:rRNA from 1 species
CCUACGGGUGGCAGCAGUGGGGAAUAUUGGGCAAUGGGCGCAAGCCUGACCCAGCAACGCCGCGUGAAGGAAGAAGGCUUUCGGGUUGUAAACUUCUUUUAUGAGGGAAGAGCAGAAGACGGUACCUCUUGAAUAAGCCACGGCUAACUACGUGCCCGCAGCCGCGGUAAUACGUAGGUGGCAAGCGGUUUCCGGAUUUACUGGGUGUAAAGGGCGUGUAGGCGGGCUGACAAGUCAGAUGUGAAAUCCGGGGGCUGAAACCCCGAACUGCAUUUGAAACUGUUUGUCUUGAGUAUCGGAGAGGCAGGCGGAAUUCCUAGUGUAGCGGUGAAAUGCGUAGAUAUUAGGAGGAACACCAGUGGCGAAGGCGGCCUGCUGGACGACAACUGACGGUGAGGCGCGAAAGCGUGGGGAGCAAACAGGAUUAGAUACCCGAGUAGUC